rnacentral:misc_RNA from 1 species
CCAGCAGAUCGCCGCGCUUCACGCGCUGCCCGGCCUUCACCGUCACGCUGCCGGGCUGCAUAUGGGCGUAAAGCACGUAGCUGCCGCCGAUGUCGAGCACGACGAAGUUGCCGUCGGCCUGGCCGAUGGUCAUGCCUGGGGGCAGCGCGCCUGGCACCUGCUCCGGCAAGUCGUUGCGCGAUGACACCACGGUGCCGUCGGCAACGGCCAGGACGUCACGCCCGUAGAUCACGUAGUUCGACAGGGU